CACAGCAGCAGAUGACUUUAGUAGUUAGUGUCAUGCGUUCGUAAGGUAUUGUGUUGCGUUUUCUGUGUAAUAUGUAAGUGAUUUGAUGGUGGAGACAGGAAAUCACGGAAAGACACAUAUUUGAGUGUGUGGCUUAGGAGGGCAAUCAUGGACUACAAGGGAACUAGUUGGGUGAAAAAAGAGAAGAAUGAAAUAUAUGCUGAACCAGAAUCCUUGUAUCGCUCACAUGCCAGCAACCCUACCUUGGCAGUGUCCGUGGUUCGUUUGGUGUGGGGGCUGUGCACUAUUGUUUAAAGUGCUGUCUUGGAGCAGAAGAAAUAGUUUUAGCAUUUAUAUUUGUAGAACUACUUAGUUAUCUGUAUGAACAUAAAUAACAAUUCUGCAAUACUGUAUUGGUACACAUACAAAGAAACAGAUGAAAACUGUUGCUAUGUCUGAGAUUUGAGGCUGUAACUCCUGGUUUCAGGAUCAGUUACUUUAACAAUUACCCUAACCAAGCAUGCCUCCAGGGCUGCCAAGGGGAUGUCAAUUGUGUGUCCUCAUAGAUUUUCAUCUUAGGUUCAGGAUUUUAAGGUCAGCGACCAGCCAAUAAUUUUGUAAAGCAGUGUGACACAGUUCUCCAUAGAAGUAGAAACAAGAAAUGCAUUUGGCAGUUGGGUGAUUUGUGAGUGCUGUUAAGUAUAAAAAAUUUAUUAUACAGUUGUCUGUAGAUGAGUGCAUAUGAUAAAAAUAUAAUAAUCAUAAAAUUGGUGGUUCAGAUAACACUGAUUGCUACCAGUUCUUUUAGUUUUAUUUACAUUCCAUAUGUAAAACAAAUGGUAAUUUUAAUUCAUGCUGAACCAUACUUUAUUAAAAAGUUAUUUUUAAUUAUAAGUUACAUAAAAUGCAAGUAUUGUUGAAAAGUUACAAUUUGGUACAAAAAUGGAGAGCAUCAAAUGGAAAAUAA